rnacentral:rRNA from 1 species
UCCAGACUCCUACGGGAGGCAGCAGUGAGGAAUAUUGGUCAAUGGGCGAGAGCCUGAACCAGCCAAGUCGCGUGAGGGAAGACGGUCCUAUGGAUUGUAAACCUCUUUUGCCGGGGAGCAAAAAGCGGUACGUGUACCGCAUCGAGAGUACCCGGAGAAAAAGCAUCGGCUAACUACGUGCCAGCAGCCGCGGUAAUACGUAGGGUGCGAGCGUUAAUCGGAAUUACUGGGCGUAAAGGGUGUGCAGGCGGCUGAGUAAGACAGAUGUGAAAUCCCCGGGCUUAACCUGGGAACCGCAUAUGUGACUGCUUGGCUAGAGUGCGUCAGAGGGAGGUGGAAUUCCACGUGUAGCAGGGAAAUGCGUAGAUAUGUGGAAGAACACCGAUGGCGAAGGCAGCCUCCUGGGACGCAACUGACGCUCAUACACGAAAGCGUGGGGAGCAAACAGGAUUAGAUACCCCCGUAC